rnacentral:rRNA from 1 species
GACGAACGCUGGCGGCGUGCUUAACACAUGCAAGUCGAACGGAAAGGCCCUGCUUUUGUGGGGUGCUCGAGUGGCGAACGGGUGAGUAACACGUGAGUAACCUGCCCUUGACUUUGGGAUAACUUCAGGAAACUGGGGCUAAUACCGGAUAGGAGCUCCUGCUGCAUGGUGGGGGUUGGAAAGUUUCGGCGGUUGGGGAUGGACUCGCGGCUUAUCAGCUUGUUGGUGGGGUAGUGGCUUACCAAGGCUUUGACGGGUAGCCGGCCUGAGAGGGUGGCCGGCCACAUUGGGACUGAGAUACGGCCCAGACUCCUACGGGAGGCAGCAGUGGGGAAUAUUGAACAAUGGGCGGAAGCCUGAUGCAGCAACGCCGCGUGCGGGAUGACGGCCUUCGGGUUGUAAACCGCUUUCGCCUGUGACGAAGCGUGAGUGACGGUAAUGGGUAAAGAAGCACCGGCUAACUACGUG